rnacentral:lncRNA from 1 species
GUGGGUCUCAGGGGCCCCUGGGGAGGGGGAAACGAUCAUAGCUAACACUCAGGGAAUAAAUGCACUUUAUUUUUCUUUUUUAUGUGUUUUCAUUUUACUUAUUCACUUUUUCGUAGAGAUGGGGGUCUCACUAUGUUGCCUAGGCUGGUCUCAAACUCCUAAGUUCAAGCGAUCCUCCUGCCACAGCCUCCCAAAGUUUUGGGAUUAUAGAGUGAGUUGACACUCCUAACCCAACAAAUGCACUUUGAAGUGAGUACUGCUAUCAUGCCCAUUUUACAGCUAGGUAAACUGAGGCCUGGAGCAGUUUUGCUCUUGUCGUGUGUGUGCGGGGGGGGGGCUUUUUUUUUUUUUUGGUAACUUGUUUAUACUGUUAGGUUAGGAAGUGGGUGACCCUCGAUUGGAACCCAGGCAUGUUGGCUGCAGUCCCUCAACUCUCAGAACUUGAACCCCCUCCCCCACGGGAUUGGUGGGGGUGGUUGGACACUAUGGUUCCCUGGGUUCCUGGUGACCCAGCUAAGGGCCUUUCUCAUGGGAUGCGCUUCCCCAGUCCCCCAGCGCAGCCUAGGCUCUGUGGCACCCCUACUUGCCCCCCUCCUGCCAGGACAGCGAGGCACUGGGAGGGACGGGAGGCGGCCUCAGGGGGCCUCCUCUCCCGGCUGAGGCUCGGCCUCGCCCUCCUCCAGGCUGGGAGGAUCCGCCGUCUGCGCCGCCGGCAGGGGGAGGGGGCGGGUUAUUUUUACCUCCCUCCAGGCAGCCGGGGCGACAGGAAGUGAGCGCGCGGCCCGCCAGAUGUGGGGAGCCAGGGAGCUGGGAACAGCCACAGCUGGACUGGCGGCCGGCCGGGAGCGGGGUUAGGGGGGAGGGUGUGUGGAGGGUGGAUCCCCAGGCCUCCGGUCCCCUCUUUGUUCCCCGCCGCCCCAGCCUCCCCUCCAAAGACCCCUCGUCCCCAUCCCCCGCUCAUGUGGGUCGUGGCCUCGCUGUCCCUCAUCUGGGCGCCAAUCCCCUCGCUGGCUCGAGGGCUCUCAGAUCCUGGGCAGGGAGGGGGACCCUGCCCCUCGCCCCAGGGACCCCCAGGUCCCAGCAGAGUCGGGGGUAAGAGGGGGAGACGGCCUCUCGCCGGCCCCGCCUGCCACCGCCAUUGUUUACCCGUCGGCUGCCUCCUAGGAAACUUAACCCGCCCGCGGUAAUUUUAUUUGGGAACUUCGGCCAGUUGCCAUAGCAACCCCCAGUGACGUCAGAGGGGCUGGGGCCCGAAAUCCCCGGGAAAGUGGGGGGGAUGGGAUGGGGGGGAGACCCCCAGAAGGGCUCUCCUUAACCCUCUGCGUACCAGAUCCCAGCCAGGCAGGGACAGCCAGAUGUGACACUUCUUGGGUGCGCCCCCCCAGUUCUGGCCUGGGGCCAGGUCAGGGUGGCAGGCCAGGCCUUGAUGUCAUCGGGAGCUGGGGAGACCCCCACCCCCACCCCAGGCCCGCCCUGGAAAUGCCAUUCUUGUGUGUAGCUGCUCAGAAGGCCAUGUGGUAAGUUGCUCCCACCUUCUGCGCCCCACCCUGAGUUGGGGAAUUCUG